GACGAACGCUGGCGGCGUGCCUAAUACAUGCAAGUCGAGCGCAGGAAAUCGACGGAACCCUUCGGGGGGAAGUCGACGGAAUGAGCGGCGGACGGGUGAGUAACACGUAAAAAACCUGCCCUCAGGUCUGGGAUAACCACGAGAAAUCGGGGCUAAUACCGGAUGGGUCAUCGGACCGCAUGGUCCGAGGAUGAAAGGCGCUUCGGCGUCGCCUGGGGAUGGCUUUGCGGUGCAUUAGCUAGUUGGUGGGGUAAUGGCCCACCAAGGCGACGAUGCAUAGCCGACCUGAGAGGGUGAUCGGCCACACUGGGACUGAGACACGGCCCAGACUCCUACGGGAGGCAGCAGUAGGGAAUCUUCCACAAUGGACGAAAGUCUGAUGGAGCAACGCCGCGUGAACGAUGAAGGCCUUCGGGUCGUAAAGUCCUGUUGUAAGGGAAGAACAAGUGCCGCAGGCAAUGGCGGCACCUUGACGGUACCUUGCGAGAAAGCCACGGCUAACUACGUGCCAGCCGCCGCGGUAA
rnacentral:rRNA from 1 species